rnacentral:lncRNA from 1 species
UUUCAUUUUCACCCCGGAAAAAAUAUCAAUGGCCUUGACAGUAUAAUAGACAAUCUCCUGAAAAACCCACAAUUGCUCUUAUCUAGCCCCUUCAAAAGAUGACCUGAAAAUACCUUCUUUUCAAGCUACGCGGUCAAGCUCUUAAAUCCCGGGGAUUCCCUAUUUUUUUUGUUCAGGUAAUAUUUUUAUCUUGUGCACUCUUAAAGCCAGUGAAUUUGACAUUUGAGUUACACUUUCUGUGAGUGAAUUCUUGAGGAGAAUCUUGCAUCGGGUUUUCACCUUUUGGGGGGUUUUAUGGAGAAUUUUUGGAACUGUUUAUAGAAACAUGGCGUCUUUUCCUCUUGCUUCCACAGUUGGAUUUUUGAUAGCCCAAAAAAAAUGUAAACUUUAUGUUGGAAAUUUAAAGUUACUGGAGAGACAUAGAGCUCUAUCUUGUUCAUUGCCCAAGAACUGCUUUAGUUCGAUAUCUAAGCCUUUAUCGGGGCUGAAUUAUAGUUGUAUUUCUCACCAUAGGUUUUUAUGUGGUAAAAAUAUUAGGUCAGUGGCCAAUGAGAACAGAAAUGUAGAUACCCAUCCGGUAAAAGGAGAAAAUAAUGAGAUAAGAAAGAAGUUCUCAUUGAGAUUGCGCCCAAAGUUACGAUUAUUGUCAAGAAGACUGAAAAGGGUUUCAAUCAGGUCGGUGUUAAAUGGCCUCAGAACAUUCCUUCGCAAGAAUGUUAAAAGUUUGACUCUAUCGACCUCUGUAUCUGUAGUACUAGGGCUUUGCUUUCUGUUUCUCAAAUUAACUGCAAUGCCGACUCCAAAAGCUGUUCCAUAUUCAGAUCUCAUAACGAGCCUUCAAAGUGGGAAUGUGACAAAGGUUUUGUUUGAGGAGGGUACUCGUCGUAUAUAUUAUAAUACAAACCUGUGGCAUGCUAAAGAUGCUCAAACAGUGGACGAUAAAUCAACUCCUUAUAGUGAGACUGGAUUUGAGAGUGAUGCAAUCAAUGUCAUUGCUCACCAAAACCAAGAGAGAAGAAAUUUGCUAGGAAAAUUGAAAAAAUCUAAAACUUCGGCCCCUGCUUGGGAGUUCUCAACAAGAAAGAUUGAUCACGAUGAGGGCUAUCUUCUUUGUCUCAUGAGGGAAAAGGGGACUGCGUAUGGCUCAGCACCUCAAUCAGUUUUAAUGUCUAUGAGGAAUAUGUUGAUUACGGUGCUCUCUUUAUGGAUCCCUUUGACUCCUUUAAUGUGGCUUCUUUACCGUCAACUUUCUGCUGCCAAUAGUCCAGCCAGAAAACGAAAACCCAGCAAUCAGUUGGUUUGCUUUGAUGAUGUGGAUGGUGUUGAUGCUGCAAAAGUGGAGCUUAUGGAGGUGAGCUAUCUUCUUACAAAAUCACAUCUCUAAAUAAUUGUUCUAGUUUCAUUACCAUAAAAUAUUUUCGUAUCAGAAGAAAAUUGUAAAUUGUGAAUUGUGCAAGAAUCAGAUUUCAUUAGAGUGACAACCCUUUUUUAGUUAACAAAUUCAGUUAUCUACAAUAAUGCAACCAUAUGUUGCUCUAAGCAAAAAUUAGCUUCUCUGUUAUAUUUGAUGAACUUUAUAAUUUAGUGUGUGUGUGUAUAUAUAUAGUAGAGCAAGAUUUAUACAUUUUUAAUGUAAUGAAAUUGGUAUAUCAAAUAGAAUUUCUUUAUUCAUACACAUGGGCCCCCACUUUGCCAGGUUGUAAUCCAGGUUGAACUGUCACUCCUUCAAUCCGUUUGUUAUUAGUCAAUUACCUCUUUAUAAGUUUUAUACGUUUUUGUGGUCUGUGUAUCAUACGUGUGCCUGAAAAUAUCUAUUUGUUCUCCACUUUAUAAUUUCUGUAGUCUAUCUUUAAGAUGGGAUAGUUUAUUGUUUGCAUCUCCUAAGCUAUAUAAAUUUGAUCUGACUGCAGAAUAGAGAAACUAUUCCGAAUAUAAUAGAAAAAGGGAUUGAAAAUUGAGCCCUGAUUUUUGUGUGCCACGAGUAAAUGGCAUCCCCCCCAACCCCCCCCCCCCCCCCCCCCAAAAAAAAAAAAAAAGAAAAAAAAAAGGAAAAUUACCUUCAUACAUUUAGGAAGGAAGCUUUAAAACCUCAUGAUUUAUAAAUUGAAGGAAACUAUAUCAGUUUUUCAAAGUUUAGUGUUCAAGCAUGUGUAGUGUGCUUUUGUUAUUGACUUAUAUACAUUUCAAACUAAAUUGAGAAAAGAACUCUUUGUUGGUCAUUAAGAAUGGGUGCUUAAAUGGAAAAUUUGUUUGGUAUAAUUUUCAAAAUUCAUAUGUCGACCAUUGUUUGGAUUCACAUGUCUCCUGCAAAGGGAGGAAAAUUUGUGUCCUAUGUGGGUAUGUAUAGUAUGUAUGUUAUAUGGGACAACUACUUCACGCUUCACAGUUAAACAAAAUCAGGGAUUUACUUCUCUCUUAAUUGUUUACUUGUCAGAGCACAUAAGAAUAUAGCUCUUAUUUGAGUACCACUCAUGUAAUUUUCUUCUUUGUAGAUAGUGUGUUGCCUUCAAGGAUCUAUUAAUUACAAUAAGCUGGGUGCCAAGUUACCUAGAGGCGUGCUGCUUGUAGGUCCUCCAGGAACUGGAAAAACAUUACUAGCCCGUGCAGUGGCCGGGGAAGCUGGUGUACCAUUUUUUUCAGUUUCCGCCAGUGAAUUUGUAGAGUUAUUUGUUGGAAGGGGAGCUGCUCGCAUAAGAGACCUAUUCAGUGUUGCGAGGAAGAAUGCACCAUCGAUUAUUUUUAUUGAUGAGCUUGAUGCUGUUGGCGGAAAGCGUGGUAGGAGUUUCAAUGAUGAGAGAGAUCAAACACUGAAUCAGGUAUUUUCAAUUUUCAGUUGAGAAGCAUAUCACAUCAUUUCUCUAUUAUGUGUUAAAUCAAAAUGUUAUGCUUUUUAUUGCUAAGUUUAAGUUUAGUUGCAAAUGCUUUCUCUCUCUGGAAUUAUGAAAUUAACUACAUACAGAUUAGUCACAUUCGCAGACAAACAUAUUCAUGAUGCUUGAUACUAUGUUUUCUAGUUUUGUUUUAAGACGUGCAUAAUUAUGGUAAUGAGAAUGAAAGGCGUCAAAAGCAUGUUGACAUUUUAAGGUAUAAAAAAUGAAUACAUCUACUGAUGAUUGGAGAUCAAAAAAAUGAUGAAAUGGGAAGUAAAAGAAGCUUAAAAUAAUGGUUAAUUGCAGUAGGAAAAUAUCUGGAGAAACUCAUUUGCAGUAAUCCCCAUAAUGUCCUUGCUCGUGUUAAACCAACUUCAAACUCUUUCAAUUAGGGGAAAAUAUUGGGAGAAACUCAUUUGCAGUAACCCCAUAAAAGCAAUUAGCAUAAUAAUUCCAAUAAUAACGGUAAGAAGGAAAAUGAUAAUGCUUUGAUAAGGAUUUUCUUACAUGGGCUUGUCCAUGUCAUGAAUUCUUUCACACAUCAAUACUCAAAUUCCAAUUAUGUGAGUUGGAAGUGUGUUUGCACAUAAACCAACGUAAUUUUUAUCAAUAGUUUCAUGAUUACUGGACCUUAUGAUUAUUGUUUUCUUUCUAGUUGCUCACAGAAAUGGACGGCUUCGAAUCAGACAUUGAUGUUGUUGUCAUUGCUGCAACGAAUAGACCAGACGCCUUGGAUCCAGCUCUAUGUCGGCCUGGUCGAUUCUCAAGGAAAGUAUAUGUGGGAGAACCAGAUGAAGAGGGAAGAAGAAAGAUUUUGGCUAUACAUUUCCGAGGAGUUCCACUUGAGGAGGACACAAAUCUUGUUUGCAACCUAGUUGCAUCUCUGACUCAAGGCCUUACAGGGGCUGAUCUGGCGAACAUAGUCAAUGAGGCUGCACUUCUUGCUGCUCGAAGAGGUUAGAUUAAAUUGUAUUGUGCUGUCAAAUUUUCCCAGGUUCACAUUCCAAAAGAUAUUCUUUUAUUCACUAUUGGGAUGUUUGGUAUGAUGUGUUGUCCAUUGUACAAUAUUAUAGGAGGAAAAGAUGCUAAAAUCUUGUUUAUAGUAUGGUCUUGUCCUAUCCAGUUCAAUAUUAUGUAUCAAACACACCCUAGGUUUACAUAAAACUGAUUUCUAUCUGUCAUUCUGUCUAGAUAGAGAGAACAUAAUUUGAUGUAAAUUGGACUUCGACAUAUUGCAUCUUUUCCAAUAAUCACUUAAAUGGACGGCAAUGGCAUUUCCUAGGGAGCAAGAACCCGUGACCCCUUAGGUCCCCCCAACACGGAGGAAAAAAUGUUUGGGGAAAUAUAAUUAAAAACCCAAAUAAAUGGAAGAAUGGGCUGACCCCUAGUUUCUCAUUUUAAAGCUAUGAUGGUAAUUUCUAUUUCAAGAAUGGUAUCUGACGAUGGGAAUGUGGGUCCAGUCCCAUCAAUAUUGUCAGUGAGACUGCUGAACAUCAGAUUUAUGCCUUCUCAAGGAGAAAAGUGAUUUGUACUGAAACUGGACAUUAGAUAAGGUGGCCCUCUUUUAAUCUCAAUACGCAUCUGCAUAUUUUCUCUAUAUAUUUCAUUGUGAAUGUUGUUAUGACAUUAUGAAAGGUUGUACAUUUAUAAUUUUAUGCUUUAUUGAUUUCAACAGGGGCCGAAUGUGUUGCGAGAGAAGAUAUAAUGGAAGCCAUAGAAAGAGCCAAGUUUGGAAUAAAUGAGAGACAGACAGGUCGCAUACUAAAGAAGGAACUUGGGAAGCUCUUUCCUUGGAUUCCUUCUCUGAUGGGUAGAAAUGAUACUGGACAAGACGGAAUGCAAGGUCCUCUAGGCUAUCAAACUCUAAGCUAAUGGUAUGUUCCCUUCUAGUUUUUAUUCAUGGAUUUGUGUAACAUCCUCAUGAGUGUAUAAUAUUCAAAAGAAGGGAGUUUUGUUCACUAUAAGCUAAGAAUAUUGUUUUAAUCUAGAGUGGGAACUAUUUUUAUACUUCCAAAGGUCCUAUAAUGGGCAAUCUGAUGAUUUGAGACUUGAUUUGUUUAUUUUUGCAUGUACAAAUAUCUUCUAUCAUUUAAAGCUAGCUUUUAGUUGAUUUGUUCUGUUUACUGGUAUGCCACGAAUACUGAUCUCAUAAGUAGUAGCCACUCUUGGUUCUUAUUAAAUUGUGCUUUUAAUAUCAUGAAAUGGAACUUGAAGAGUUAGUUGCUCGUACCAUGUGCAUUGUAACCCAUUAUAUAGUAAAACAAGAGAUGGUAAUUUCUUCUCCUUUCUCCAAGAAUGAUACAAUGAAUUUGUU